rnacentral:rRNA from 1 species
GAUGAACGCUGGCGGCGUGCCUAAUACAUGCAAGUCGAGCGAACAGACGAGGAGCUUGCUCCUCUGACGUUAGCGGCGGACGUGUGAGUAACACGUGGAUAACCUACCUAUACGACUGGGAUAACUUCGGGAAACCGGAGCUAAUACCGGAUAACAUGUUGAACCGCAUGGUUCAACAGUGAAAUACGGUCUUACUGUCACUUAUAGAUGGAUCCGCGCCGCAUUAGCUAGUUGGUAAGGUAACGGCUUACCAAGGCAACGAUGCGUAGCCGACCUGAGAGGGGGACGGCCACACUGGGACCGGAGAACGGGUCAAGCCUCCUACGGGAGGCAGCAGUAGGGAAUCUUCGGAAAUGGGCGAAAGCCUGCCGGAGAAACGCGGGGUGAGUGAAGAAGGUCUUCGGAUCGUAAAACUCUGUUAUUAGGGAAGAAGAAAUGUGUAAGUAACUAUGCACGUCUUGACGGUACCUAAUCAGAAAGCCACGGCUAACUACGUG